GUGUUUGCUUCAGCAGCGCAUAUACUAAAAUUGGAACAACCCAGAGACUAGCAUGUUCCCUGUGCAAGGAUGACAUGCAAAUUGGUGAAGCAUUCCAUAUUUUU